UGGCGGCGUGCCUAAUACAUGCAAGUCGAGCGAAUGGAUUAAGAGCUUGCUCUUAUGAAGUUAGCGGCGGACGGGUGAGUAACACGUGGGUAACCUGCCCAUAAGACUGGGAUAACUCCGGGAAACCGGGGCUAAUACCGGAUAACAUUUUGAACCGCAUGGUUCGAAAUUGAAAGGCGGCUUCGGCUGUCACUUAUGGAUGGACCCGCGUCGCAUUAGCUAGUUGGUGAGGUAACGGCUCACCAAGGCAACGAUGCGUAGCCGACCUGAGAGGGUGAUCGGCCACACUGGGACUGAGACACGGCCCAGACUCCUACGGGAGGCAGCAGUAGGGAAUCUUCCGCAAUGGACGAAAGUCUGACGGAGCAACGCCGCGUGAGUGAUGAAGGCUUUCGGGUCGUAAAACUCUGUUGUUAGGGAAGAACAAGUGCUAGUUGAAUAAGCUGGCACCUUGACGGUACCUAACCAGAAAGCCACGGCUAACUACGUGCCAGCA
rnacentral:rRNA from 1 species